rnacentral:rRNA from 1 species
AGUGAACGCUGGCGGUAGGCCUAACACAUGCAAGUCGAACGGCAGCACAGUAAGAGCUUUCUCUUACUUUUGUCUACUGUCUUACGGGUGAUGAAUACAUCGGAAUCUACUUUUUCGUGGGGGAUAACGUAGGGAAACUUACGCUAAUACCGCAUACGACCUACGGGUGAAAGCAGGGGAUCUUCGGACCUUGCGCGAUUGAAUGAGCCGAUGUCGGAUUAGCUAGUUGGCGGGGUAAAGGCCCACCAAGGCGACGAUCCGUAGCUGGUCUGAGAGGAUGAUCAGCCACACUGGAACUGAGACACGGUCCAGACUCCUACGGGAGGCAGCAGUGGGGAAUAUUGGACAAUGGGCGCAAGCCUGAUCCAGCCAUACCGCGUGGGUGAAGAAGGCCUUCGGGUUGUAAAGCCCUUUUGUUGGGAAAGAAAAGCAGCAGGUUAAUACCCCGCUGUUCUGACGGUACCCAAAGAAUAAGCACCGGCUAACUUCGU